AUUUAAUCUUGUUGGGAUCUCUGCUGCCUUGCCUUAUUUCUGCUAGAAAGAAGAUCCUCAUCUAUAUUUUAGGUUUAGAGUGAAGACGUGCAACUUCCUAGGAGCAACCAUGUCUCUGAUGUGCCUCUUAGAGCUUCCUGCUAAUGGCUUGAGUGAGAGUCACUGCUGGGGCAAAUACAUUCGGGAUCAUGUGACGGAACAGAUGAUGCAGGACCUUUCUCUUUUCUUCAAACGACUUCAGCUGCUCCCUGUCUAGUUCUCAUCUCAUGGAACUCACGAGAUAUCUGGAGUCAUCACCUAACGUUCAAACUUAGUGUUCUGAGGAGUCCUGUAGAGCAGAUGGGAUAGGAAUUUGAAGAGCAUGUCUCCAUGUUUUUCUAUCCAUUUGUCUUAGUCUGUUUUCUGAUGCUAUAAUAGAACACCACAGACUGAGUAAUUUGUAAAGAACAGAAGUUUACUUGGCUCGCAGUUCUAGAGGCUGGAAAAUCCAAUAUCAAAGGGCCGCAUCUGGUGAGGGCCUUCUUGCUGUGUCAUAUCAUCGUGGAAGGGCAAGUGAGGACGUGGGACAAAGAGAAAUGGGGUCUGAACUUUAUCCUUUGAUCAGGAGCCCACCCCUGAGGUAAUUAACACACUGGCAUUAAUCUACUCAUGAGGUCAGGGUCCUCACAACCUAAUCACCUCUUAAGGGCCCCAUCUCCCAAUCCAUUACACAGGCAAUUAAAUUUCAACAUGAGUUUUAGAGGGGACAUUCAAAGCAUAGCCCCAUUCAGUACUUAUCUUUCAGUGCAAUGCUUGGGGGCAUAAUAGUGCACAUUUGAAGUAUGAGGUUAGGAAAGUACCUAAAAGUGGUAGUUUUGAGGAUAACAAGUAGACACAGAUUCCUUUCUAGUUAAC
rnacentral:lncRNA from 1 species